rnacentral:rRNA from 1 species
UAACUCUGAGGGUCCUAAGGUAGCAAAACUCCUUGGCAGUUAAUUACUGUCCUGCAUGAAUGGCGUAAUGACUCCUCUACUGUCUCCAACAUUCGCCCAGCGAAAUUGACAUUUCUGUGAACAUGCAGAGUGCUAACAGGUAGACGGAAAGACCCUAUGAACCUUUACUGCUAGCACUUACCGAGGAUGCUUUGUGGGCUGUGUAGAAUAUGUGGGAGCUUAUAAUUGAUUGGCAGCAAUGAAAUACCACUCAGCCUACAAGCAACCUCCAGGUGCCGGAUAUGCCAGUAGGCACGGGUACUAGAUGUUUGUGCAAGGCAGUUUGGCUGGGGUGGCGGCCUGCAAAAAAGUAACGGAGGUGCACAAAGGUAGACUUCGAUCUUUCUAAUAUAGAUUCGAAAGCGUAAUGGCACAAGUCUGCCUGACUGUGAGAUUGACGGAUCGAGCAGGGACUGGUGACAGGCUAUUAUACUUUUAUGUUUUAUUUAUUUGGCUUUACACAUAUGCAAAUAAAUAAAAUAUGGCAUAAUAGUGUACAGUCGGUCAUAGUGAUCCGGUAGCCCAGAGUGGAAUGGCUAUCGCUCAACGGAUAAAAGGUACUCUAGGGAUAACAGGCUUAUAACCCCCCGGAGUCCGAAUCUACGGGGUUGUUUGGUACUUCGAUGUUGGCUCAUCACAUCCUGGUGCUGAAGGUGGUUCCAAGGGUAUAGCUGUUCGCUAUUGAAAGUGGUACGUGAGCUGAGUUCAGAACGUCGUGAGACAGUUCGGUCCCUAUCUUCUGUUAGAUGUAGAAAAUAGCGAGUUCUUCUGGCUAGUACGAAAGGACUGACAGGAGUGCGCCUAUUGUGUACCAGUUGUCAUCACAAGUGGCACAGCUGGGUAGCUACGCGCGACUAGAGAAUCGCUGAAACCAUCUAAGCGAGAAGCUAAAUUCGUAUAAUUUUCUAUGAGGAUGGUAGGAGAUUACUACUUCAUAGGCUGGAGGUAGAAAUUUCGUAAGAGGAAAGCUUACUUGUCCUAAACAUCCGA